rnacentral:rRNA from 1 species
AUUGAACGCUGGCGGCAUGCUUUACACAUGCAAGUCGAACGGGCUUGGGGGCUUUGCUCCCAAGUUAGUGGCGAACGGGUGAGUAAUACAUCGGAACGUACCGUGUAGUGGGGGAUAACGUAGCGAAAGUUACGCUAAUACCGCAUACGAUCUACGGAUGAAAGCAGGGGACCUUCGGGCCUUGUGCUAUACGAGCGGCCGAUGUCUGAUUAGCUAGUUGGUGAGGUAAAGGCUCACCAAGGCGACGAUCUGUAGCGGGUCUGAGAGGAUGAUCCGCCACACUGGAACUGAGACACGGUCCAGACUCCUACGGGAGGCAGCAGUGGGGAAUUUUGGACAAUGGGCGCAAGCCUGAUCCAGCCAUGCCGCGUGAGUGAAGAAGGCCUCGGUU